rnacentral:lncRNA from 1 species
UUUAGAGUGAGAACGAUCCCUAAGGAUAACACAUGGCAGUUAAGGUCUAUAAAUCCUAAUUCUAUUAAGAAGUUAGAAUGGUAAAAGUCCCACAUGAUUAGGAAUUUUAAAGUUAUAAAGGUCUCACAUUGGCUAAGAAGUUCAAAAUUUCAAAAUUCCCACAUCAGUUAGGAAAAUCAUAAUGACAAAAGUCCCACAUUAGUUAGAAAGAUAAAGUUACAAAUAUCCCACAUCGGUUAGCAAGUAAAGUGGCAAACUUUAAUGUCCCACAUUAGAUAGGCAAUCAACACCUCGGCUCCCCUCUCCUAUAAAUAAGGGAUGAUGGGAAGGGGGAAAGAACCAUAGUGUG